UAUAUUUUAAUGUAAUAAGCAUGUAAGUCUUUGAAAUUUAAAGAAAAAGGUAAAACUUUUAAAUAUAG
rnacentral:tRNA from 1 species